GCCGCCCUACGGGGCGCAGCAGUGGGGAAUAUUGGUCAAUGGUCGGGAGACUGAACCAGCCAAGCCGCGUGAGGGAUGAAGGUACAGAGUAUCGUAAACCUCUUUUGUCAGGGAACAAAGGCGGGGACGUGUCCCCGGAUGAGUGUACCUGAAGAAAAAGCAUCGGCUAACUCCGUGCCAGCAGCCGCGGUAAUACGGAGGAUGCGAGCGUUAUCCGGAUUUAUUGGGUUUAAAGGGUGCGUAGGCGGGGCGACAAGUCGG
rnacentral:rRNA from 1 species